AGAAUCUCAGAAGGUUGCUCACAUAAGCUCACAAGCGGGGUUGUUCAUUUUUAAAGACGUCAACUUUUAUUGAAUUUAACCUUAUUUUUAUAAUAAUUAAAUUGACCUACACAGAGCAUAAGUCCGGUGACUUGGGGUAUUUUAAGGCUGAUGCAAAAACAUUUGGAUCGUUUACACGCUGUUCGCGCUUUAGAAAGUUUUCUUGAGUGAAACUAGGCUCAGAAGUCUCGAACAUGAGUCUGCGUCUGACUCUGCCUGCUACUCGGGGCAAGGAAGGACGACAUGGAACUGACCCACUCUGAUGGUGUGGGCGUGGUCUCGCCCGUGGCCGCUUCUUAGCCUAUCCUUCUGGAUAGCGUCGGUGAAAAGUGCGCCGAGGGUAUGGCUGACGUGCACCGCUCAGCCGAAAACUGGACUGGGUGUUAAACUGUUGGCCUCUCUGGGCCGAGAGCUCGUCCCUUCGGUGCCGGAACCGUGGGUCGUUUCUUUUAUUUAUUCUCUUUUCCCUUAUUUGUUCGUCCUGUGUCGCAUGUAAGUUUUAAGUUGUUUAAUUUUUGUGUAUCUCGGCACAAUGUUUAAAUUAAAGUUUCGU